GACAGAGGGGGCAAGCGUUGCUCGGAAUCACUGGGCGUAAAGGGCGCGUAGGCGGGAUGGCAAGUCGGUCGUGAAAUCCUUCGGCUCAACCGAAGAACGUCGGCCGAUACUGCCGUUCUUGAGGGAUGCAGAGGAGAUUGGAAUUCCCGGUGUAGCGGUGAAAUGUGUAGAGAUCGGGAGGAACACCAGUGGCGAAGGCGGCUCACUGGCCCGGUACUGACGCUGAGGUGCGAAAGCGUGGGGAGCAAACAGG
rnacentral:rRNA from 1 species